CCCGCGUCGCGUGGUACGCUCCUUUUUUGGUGGCGUGGCGCGCUCCCUGCGCGAGCUCAGAGCUGCACGUCCGGUACCACUCGGGGCGCGGGCAGGCGAAAGAGGAGGUGGGGGUAAGGGAGCAGAGGUUGGUAUCUAGAAAAGGGGGAGGGGAUGUCAGUGGAAGCGGAGGGGGUAGAGCAGGCGGGGUCCUAGGUUCCACAUGCCCACACCUCCGCUCGAAGGGCCGCUGUCGCUGCCGCUGCUGCUGCCACGACCUAAGCUAGACGUCCUCUCUCUCUUCUACUCUCCCUCUUCUUCCUCCUCUCCUCCCACUUUCUCUCCCUUCUCCUCUCCCUCCACACCAAAGCUUACCCUAUCCGGACGCGGCCGCUCCAGCCCGCGCUGGACCGCUAACCACCGCCGAGUUAAGCGAGGACCUAGCCCUGGAUACUCCUCCGGCCCCGGACCCGCACUCCGUGUAUCCAACGCGAGACGAAGAAGGAGCUAGUUGUUCUCCUCAUACACGUCACGCCACCACACCGCCUGCCGGCGAGCACGUCACCGGAGUCACCCAGCCGCUGCCGUGGACGUCUCGAGCGUGGCGGGACCGCGGCUAGGUCGCGCCGAGGACGUGCAGCGGUGGGGGAGGAGGGGUAGAGUCGCCCUCCACUUAAACACGGCGACGACGGAGAAGGCGGUUCGUCCUCCUCGUGCUCUAGUCCCUACUACAAUUUUAUAAAACGAUCCAGACGGUAGUUGAAAGACAAGUUCACAUUGUUAGUAAGAACGUAGUUCCCUACUCUUCUUACAAAUGUCCCACGUUUACGAAGUCUUUUAGAUACGACGAAUGACCUUUAGACCUUAGUACAACGAGUUCACAGUCCUAAUACAUGAUCUGUACUACUUUAUUCUACUCCACACUUAAAAAAUCGGUACGAAAAAAUCGAGUACUUCCGUCUUCAAAUACCUUAAAAAGUCAUGGUGGAAGGACGCCGAGACUCCUAAAACAGACGACCGACGGAGAGGCUUACCUCAUACUUUACUAAAUCAUUAGUGAACAUACGUUUUUCUCCACGUGUCAAACCACAACACUCUUAACUUGACCUUGCCUUAAAAAUACGGAUACAUAAAAAGGACAGCUCCAUAGAGGUUAGCAUACGUCUAGGUGUCACCUAGUUCGCCUUAACCGUGUAAACGAUAUGUCUAACGCUUCACGGAACCUUAGUUCCAAAACAGUGACGUCCGAAUAACCAAGUCUAUCUAUGUCAUAUAUACCAUGUUUCUACAAAAGGCUUUCGUUGAGACAAUACGACGAGAUCUUUCGGUUUCUCUUUGAUCGGCGAACCAUGCAAAUUCCACACCUAUAUACGUCUUUGAUGUUUUGGAAACAUCGUGUAUAGCUUCUUCUUUGAUUACCUUUACCAUAAUAGGACGGUAGGAGAACACUGCGAACUACGGGACUACGUCUCUGCAACUACAGUAAGACCUGUUGCACCCGUCUAGAAUAGAAAUUCCGUUAGACCUAUCGAAUCGUCAACUACCAUCUGAAAAGUAGCAACCAGAGUACCCUCCGUGACAUUGACUUCACUUGGACGUACGCUACGAAUGGGCUUCUGACUGACAUAUUCUAACAUAGCUAGAUAGAAAUAUGUUGGUACGGAGAAAGUCAAAAUACACAAAAAAAGGACUAUUGUGUAGAAUGAGAUACUUGUGUUACGAGUAUCCUGACAACUACGAAAAGACAACAAUCUUAAAGUAAGAAACAAAAAACCGUUGACUAAUACGUCACGAUACUACAUCGAAACACAGAAGAUUUAAUAAAAAAUGAGAGUUUAUUAAAUAAUCUGUUACCUUCUCGAUUUACGUAUGAAAACACAUCUGAAUGGAGGUAAAUGGACUAAAGUGCACGUACUAAACGACAGCGGGAAGCGCGGUAGCCGCGUUGCCCACCAAUCGACGAAAAAAUACACACUCUUAUAGUCCUUACAAAGAUAUACACGGGUCUAAAUAAACCAAGUGAAAGUGACGAGAAACAACUUAAUUGACUCUUUAAGAACUAAGAAAAAUACAAUAAAGAAAUGUGCUUCCUAGGUCUAAUUUUAGAUUACACAAUAAGAACGACCGAAUCAGAUUUGUUUACGUAAAAUCUAGUGGAUGAAGAGUCAAGUACUAAAAACUAAGUCACAUAACGCCAACUAAUGGCCUUGUGUGAGUGGGUUUCACAGCUAGACAUAGGCAUGUAUUAAAUGAUUUAAUUUAAAAAACUCAACAAAGAUAUUUACAUUCAACUGAUAAAACAAAGGUAUAUUUUUUUUCCAUAAAACAUUUCUUGUAUUCAUAUUGAUACCCGGAUACCGAGUACAACGACUUAUAUCAACUCUCUUUUACUUGUAUAACAAUUAAGAAAGGUUAAACAAUAACGUUAAGUGUGUAUCAAGUUAAAGAAUCAGGAGCACGUAAAAGUGUCAAUCACAGAAGAUCUUGAAUCAUGUUUUGAACUUAUAAAAUUCAUUAGUUUCACUUUAACCAUUAAUCGUAGACGACUCUCGUGACUUGAUUUAGUACAAGUGCUUUGAAUAAUAAAAAAGAUUGAAGAUGUCCGCCGGCACAAGAGUCGAGAAAUAAGCCUAGAAACAUCUACCCACUCGUACAAACGAACGACGGAACGUCCACAACCUCUGGACACCAACGAGAAAAAUAACUUUGCUUCCCUUUAUAUGCUCAUAGUGCACGCCUACACGGUACGUAAAGGAUGAAGUGGAACCGAUCGUCUCAAUUGACCGGUACGUCUUUAACAACACUCCCGCCUCGAAGUACCAACUAAGAAUUUACCCGUAUUAGGUUCAUUCAUAAUCCACACUUCUUUCAACCUCUACAACUUCCUACGUUUCUUAGGAAGGGGUUAGUAACACAAAAUUCGUCGAGUAGCCCUAAUUCCCAUGGUGGUCAAACUUGGGACUGUUUAAGUGGUACGUUUAAUUAUCCUUCUGUGUAUAUCGGUCGUCACAUGUACAAGGACGUACGUCUAUGUCUGACAUCCAACACGUAAACAACUAAACAAACUAGGACAACCCAACGAAUAUAACGAGUGGUGCAGUAAUGGUCCAGAUUCUUGUGAUCCUACGUGAAGACAGUUCACCGUUAAUCGUUAGUUGGAAAGGACUUCUUAACACGAAGAUAAGGAUAGGUUACGAAGAAACUCUCUUCGUCGUAUCGGUCUUGAAAUGCCUACACCGUUGUCUCAAGAGUCUUCUAUAUAAGGGCAGAAAACAGCUGACGAUUUGGUCGUCCUUGUCUACCAGGAGAACCGUAGUACUGUAGUAGACUGUCAUUCCCUGAACACUUGUUGUACUUUUUGAAAGUCGGUAGAAAACUAAUGUGCCUUUAUACGGAAACUACGUAGGCACAAUAAUAAAUGACUGGCUGACACAAAUCGUUGAAGUCACACAUAUAGUUUUAAUGAUGAGGGAGGUAGGCUUUUUCGCACAGGGAGUUUACUUACAUACAUCGUAGUUCAAUCACGAUCUAUGUAGGUAAACUCCUUGUUCGAACCCUGUUUGAAAAAGCCUGCCUCCCUCAUAUACUACAUUAACUGGUGAUAGUGAUUCUUCACGAGGAGCUGUGUUACGAGAUAUAAUAGUACAGAAAUCACGUAAAAUAACACGGUGGACGCAUAUAUCGAUGAACUUAGAAGAUUAACG
rnacentral:rRNA from 1 species